GGCGCGGCGGGGCGAGCCGGGCCGCUGUGGCCGUCGGGUGGAGCCCGCCGAUUCAGGACGGCGGGGCGGGACUCCUGCGGGGCCGGCUAGCACAGUGGAGCCGGCGGAAGUCCGCGGACGCGUCCCUGGCGCUCGGGGGCUCGCGAGGCGCGCUUUGUGCUUUGCCCUUCGCGCUGCCUGGGGCCGCGGCCUCCUCGCCCUCCCGGCUCGUGUUCCUGCCCGGAGGAUCGGCGCGGGGCCCGGCUGGACGCUGCCCUUCGCGGCACUGGCCGGGCUGCCGGAGCAGCGGGCGACGUCCGGGACCGACCGCGGGGUGCUGGACAACUUUGGAUAUUGAAGGUUGACUUCGUGGACUGCCCUGGUGAAAUGACCAGGAGCAGGCCUGGCGUUCUGUAGCACUAAAGAUCGUAGAAAGGAAAAGUGUUUAUAUACAAAAUGCAGAUGAGCCCCUAACGUCAUGUUUAGUAGAUUCAAGACGAACUGUUAAAAGGGAAUGACAUAAAAAUUUUAAUCCAAAUCAGAAAAGGAACUCCUCAGCGCACUAGGAAGAUCAGAUUAUUUGAGAGGGCGUGUGUGCUGUACCUAUGGCUAUUGCUAAUUCUGUGGUUAAAAUGAUUCUAAUGGAAACUUUGGUGAUUAAGAGAAUGGGCUUGCUUUAGAAAUACGUCUAGCCUCAAUUUCCUAAGCCAUAAAUUUUAUAGCAUAGUGCCUGGUUCAGUAAAUGGUAGCUUACUCUUAUUGUUGUUGUUUUAUUAUCUGUGCAGUAUGGCAGCCCUUAGGAGGGCUCCCCAGAGGUGAUAAACUGAGGCGCUUUACAGGAUGAUACGCAGAUAAAUUACUAAGAUGAAAAGGAGGACUGGGCACUUAGCCUGUCUCCUCAACAACUUAUAGAGUUGUCUUAUGUAGAUGAUUUGACCACAGACUUAAUAUGCUAUCUGAUUUCUAUGGCCAAAGCCAAUGUCCUGAGGUUAGCCAGUAUUGCCCAAAGGCACCAGGAGCAACUUGUUUUGCCUGAAUAAAAAAGGACUUUGAAGAUAUUAUCCUUUUGGUAGCUUAAAAGAUACACCAAGAAAAAUAAUUAUUACAGUGAAAUCCAAAUGAAACAUGAGAAUUAUUUUUUUGUUUUGUUACACCUGAUUUAUUCCCUAUGGUAAAUAUUACACAUAAUAAGCAUUAUGUCUUAUACAACACAGGUCAAGAAACCAUCUGGGAUGUGGCAAGGUAGUAGAGCUUCCACCUGUCAUGCUGGGGUGCCUGGAUUCAAUCCCCAGCACCUUAAAAAAACCUGAAGAUAGAAUGCAGGGCUCUAUAGAGGACCCCCUGGGUUGCCACAAGGAAGGAAAACCCCAGAUCCAAGUGAUAACCCCUCCUACUCAACACUUUAAUGCAAUAGGGCCUCCUGUAUUGCCAAGACCAGCCUCAAACGUGUGAUUCUCCUGCCUCAGCCUCCCAAGGGGCUAGGAUGACAGUUUUCGGCGGACACAUCAUUUUUGUAUGUGGUGCUGAGGAUUGAACCUGGGCCGCACGCAUGCCAGAGGAGCGCACUACUGCUUGAGCCACAUCCCCAGCCCCCACAAUGGUUUCUGACUCCAAAUGCUGGCUUAUAUAUUCCUGAGUGUUCCUACAGAAAUUUUUUUUUUUAAAUGGCGAUAGGGACAGGAAGGUCAACUUCCAACUCCACUAGAGGCAGAGAGAAAGACAAAUCCUUCCAUUUGGCUGCCCCCACUUCUAGCAUGCUAAGAAGACUCAGUGCUCCUGGAGACUCGGGCCGGUGGCUUGCCAGCCAGGGUUCAAGCUCUGGGAGGUCUACACCCAAAUGUAGCCAGCACCUGUGUUCUGGGUCUUUGGUUCAGAUUUGGGUGCUCCCUGGGGAUGAAUGAGACCAGAGUUACCUGCCUGCACAGCAAGACUUCAUCUGGCUCUCCCUUUCACAAUGAGAAAGACAACAGCCAGCACACAAAACAACAAUGUAAUCCCCCACACCCCCACACACACUGUGCCACUAGAGAAGCUCAACCUCUUUCACAGGUGGUGGUGUAGCAGGGUAGAACAGUUUGAUUACUUUUUCCAGUGUCUGCUGUUAAUACAUGAGGCACAUCUGUCCUGAGAAGGGAUAAAUGACUCUUAUGGAGAAAAUAAAUCCUGGAAACUUU